rnacentral:rRNA from 1 species
UACGGGGGGGGCAAGCGUUGUUCGGAAUUACUGGGCGUAAAGGGCUCGUAGGCGGCCAACUAAGUCGGAUGUGAAAUCCCCAGGCUUAACCUGGGAACUGCAUCCGAUACUGGAUGGCUUGAAUCCGGGAGAGGGAUGCAGAAUUCCAGGUGUAGCGGUGAAAUGCGUAGAUAUCAGGAGGAACACCGGUGGCGAAGGCGGGUCUCUGGGCAGUAACUGACGCUGAGGAGCGAAAGCGUGGGGAGCGAACAGG